rnacentral:rRNA from 1 species
GCAUAUCAAUAAGCGGAGGAAAAGAAACUAACAAGGAUUUCUUAGUAACGGCGAGUGAAGUGGGAAAAGCUCAAAUUUUAAAUCACCCGGGUUCCUUGGUGAAUUGUAAUUUGAAGAAAGUGUUUUGACGUUCGGGUUCGAUUUAAAUCCUUUGGGAUAAGGUAUCAUAGAGGGUUAGAAUCCCGUUUAUGAUUGUUCCUUUGAAUGUCUAUAAUUCACUUUCCAAGAGUCGAGUUGUUUGGGAUUGCAGCUCAAAAAGGGUGGUAAAUUUCACCUAAGGCUAAAUAUGUGCAAGAGACCGAUAGCGAACAAGUACCGUGAGGGAAAGAUGAAAAGAACUUUGAAAAGAGAGUUAAAUAGUACGUGAAAUUGUUGAAAGGGAAACGAUUAAAGUCAGUCAUGUUGGUAGGGAAUCAACUUGAUGGUAUGCGGGUUUACUCGUGUUCUUUCGAGUGCACUUCCUUACUUACUAGUUAGCAUCAAUUUUGGUUAUCAUAUAAAAGUUGAGGGAAGGUGGCUUUUCUUCGGAAAAGUGUUAUAGACCUCGAGAAAUGUGGUGACCGGGAUUGAGGAUUGCAGCGGAUACCCUUUAGGGCUAGUCACCUGGCUUCUGAUGAUUACCCCGUCUUCGAUAGCUUGCUGACGUUGAUGGGACUCGAUUGUCUAGAUGUUAGAGUGAUCAUAAAUUCGCUAAGGAUGCUGACGUAAUGGCUUUUAAACGAC